AGUCUGAUGGAGCAACGCCGCGUGAGCGAAGAAGGUUUUCGGAUCGUAAAGCUCUGUUGCCGGAGAAGAACGGGCGGGAGAGGGAAUGCUCCCGUCGUGACGGUAUCCGGCGAGCAAGUCACGGCUAAYUWCGUGCCAGCAGCCGCGGUAAUACGUAGGKGGCGAGCGUUGUCCGGAAUUAUUGGGCGUAAAGGGCACGCAGGCGGCUGUUUAAGUCCGGUGUGAAAGGUUGCGGCUUAACCGCRAACGGGCMCCGGAAACUGAAGAGCUUGAGGGCAGAAGAGGGGAGCAGAAUUCCACGUGUAGCGGUGAAAUGCGUAGAGAUGUGGAAGAAUACCSGUGGCGAAAGCGGCUCUCUGGUCUGCACCUGACGCUGAGGUGCGAAAGCGUGGGGAGCGAACAGGAUUAGAUACCCUGGUAGUCCACGCCGUAAACGAUGAAUGCUAGGUGUUAGGGGGGUCCAACCCCUUAGUGCUGAAGGCAACCCAUUAAGCAUUCCGCCUGG
rnacentral:rRNA from 1 species